GCGGAUGUGGUGGAAUUGGUAGACACAACGGACUUAAAAUCCGUUUCCCCUUGGGAGUAUGGGUUCAAGUCCCAUCAUCCGUACCA
rnacentral:tRNA from 1 species